UGGGGAAUUUUGGACAAUGGGCGAAAGCCUGAUCCAGCAAUGCCGCGUGUGUGAAGAAGGCCUUCGGGUUGUAAAGCACUUUUGUCCGGAAAGAAAUCCUUGGCUCUAAUACAGUCGGGGGAUGACGGUACCGGAAGAAUAAGCACCGGCUAACUACGUGCCAGCAGCCGCGGUAAUACGUAGGGUGCAAGCGUUAAUCGGAAUUACUGGGCGUAAAGCGUGCGCAGGCGGUUUGCUAAGACCGAUGUGAAAUCCCCGGGCUCAACCUGGGAACUGCAUUGGUGACUGGCAGGCUAGAGUAUGGCAGAGGGGGGUAGAAUUCCACGUGUAGCAGUGAAAUGCGUAGAGAUGUGGAGGAAUACCGAUGGCGAAGGCAGCCCCCUGGGCAAUACUGACGCUCAUGCACGAAAGCGUGGGGAGCAAACAGGAUUAGAUACCCUGGUAGUCCACGCCCUAAACGAUGUCAACUGUUGUUGGGGAUUCAUUUCCUAGUAACGUAGCUAACGCGUGAAGUUGACCGCCUGGGGAGUACGGUCGCAAGAUU
rnacentral:rRNA from 1 species